rnacentral:lncRNA from 1 species
AUGCUGCAAUCAAGAAUAAAGGUUGUGUCACACCUUUUCCUGAACUUUGGCUCAACUGAAGAAGGAAACUUUCAGGGGAAUUCCAAUAGUAAACAACGGAACCAGCAGUUUUACAAUAAACUGCAGAGCUCCAUUUCAAAACACAAAAAUAGAGCGUCUCUGCAGUGAUGUACUGCCUUAAGGAAGGGUCUUCUCUGUAGUCCUGGAAAUUCCCAGUGUUCCCUCC